GACGUAGGAGGCGAGCGUUGUCCGGAUUCAUUGGGCGUAAAGAGCGCGCAGGCGGCUUGGUAAGUCGGAUGUGAAAUCCCGAGGCUCAACCUCGGGUCUGCAUCCGAUACUGCCCGGCUAGAGUCCGGCAGGGGAGACUGGAAUUCCUGGUGUAGCGGUGAAAUGCGCAGAUAUCAGGAGGAACACCGGUAGCGAAGGCGGGUCUCUGGGCCGGAACUGACGCUAAGGAGCGAAAGCGUGGGGAGCGAACAGG
rnacentral:rRNA from 1 species